AUGAGUAGGGCGGGACACGUGGUAUCCUGUCUGAAUAUGGGGGGACCAUCCUCCAAGGCUAAAUACUCCUGACUGACCGAUAGUGAACCAGUACCGUGAGGGAAAGGCGAAAAGAACCCCGGCGAGGGGAGUGAAAAAGAACCUGAAACCGUGUACGUACAAGCAGUGGGAGCACAGAGCAAUCUGUGUGACUGCGUACCUUUUGUAUAAUGGGUCAGCGACUUAUAUUCUGUAGCAAGGUUAACCGAAUAGGGGAGCCGAAGGGAAACCGAGUCUUAACUGGGCGUUAAGUUGCAGGGUAUAGACCCGAAACCCGGUGAUCUAGCCAUGGGCAGGUUGAAGGUUGGGUAACACUAACUGGAGGACCGAACCGACUAAUGUUGAAAAAUUAGCGGAUGACUUGUGGCUGGGGGUGAAAGGCCAAUCAAACCGGGAGAUAGCUGGUUCUCCCCGAAAGCUAUUUAGGUAGCGCCUCGUGAAUUCAUCUCCGGGGGUAGAGCACUGUUUCGGCAAGGGGGUCAUCCCGACUUACCAACCCGAUGCAAACUGCGAAUACCGGAGAAUGUUAUCACGGGAGACACACGGCGGGUGCUAACGUCCGUCGUGAAGAGGGAAACAACCCAGACCGCCAGCUAAGGUCCCAAAGUCAUGGUUAAGUGGGAAACGAUGUGGGAAGGCCCAGACAGCCAGGAUGUUGGCUUAGAAGCAGCCAUCAUUUAAAGAAAGCGUAAUAGCUCACUGGUCGAGUCGGCCUGCGCGGAAGAUGUAACGGGGCUAAACCAUGCACCGAAGCUGCGGCAGCGACACUGUGUGUUGUUGGGUAGGGGAGCGUUCUGUAAGCCUGUGAAGGUGUGCUGUGAGGUAUGCUGGAGGUAUCAGAAGUGCGAAUGCUGACAUAAGUAACGAUAAAGCGGGUGAAAAGCCCGCUCGCCGGAAGACCAAGGGUUCCUGUCCAACGUUAAUCGGGGCAGGGUGAGUCGACCCCUAAGGCGAGGCCGAAAGGCGUAGUCGAUGGGAAACAGGUUAAUAUUCCUGUACUUGGUGUUACUGCGAAGGGGGGACGGAGAAGGCUAUGUUGGCCGGGCGACGGUUGUCCCGGUUUAAGCGUGUAGGCUGGUUUUCCAGGCAAAUCCGGAAAAUCAAGGCUGAGGCGUGAUGACGAGGCACUACGGUGCUGAAGCAACAAAUGCCCUGCUUCCAGGAAAAGCCUCUAAGCAUCAGGUAACAUCAAAUCGUACCCCAAACCGACACAGGUGGUCAGGUAGAGAAUACCAAGGCGCUUGAGAGAACUCGGGUGAAGGAACUAGGCAAAAUGGUGCCGUAACUUCGGGAGAAGGCACGCUGAUAUGUAGGUGAAGUCCCUCGCGGAUGGAGCUGAAAUCAGUCGAAGAUACCAGCUGGCUGCAACUGUUUAUUAAAAACACAGCACUGUGCAAACACGAAAGUGGACGUAUACGGUGUGACGCCUGCCCGGUGCCGGAAGGUUAAUUGAUGGGGUCAGCGCAAGCGAAGCUCUUGAUCGAAGCCCCGGUAAACGGCGGCCGUAACUAUAACGGUCCUAAGGUAGCGAAAUUCCUUGUCGGGUAAGUUCCGACCUGCACGAAUGGCGUAAUGAUGGCCAGGCUGUCUCCACCCGAGACUCAGUGAAAUUGAACUCGCUGUGAAGAUGCAGUGUACCCGCGGCAAGACGGAAAGACCCCGUGAACCUUUACUAUAGCUUGACACUGAACAUUGAGCCUUGAUGUGUAGGAUAGGUGGGAGGCUUUGAAGUGUGGACGCCAGUCUGCAUGGAGCCGACCUUGAAAUACCACCCUUUAAUGUUUGAUGUUCUAACGUGGACCCGUGAUCCGGGUUGCGGACAGUGUCUGGUGGGUAGUUUGACUGGGGCGGUCUCCUCCUAAAGAGUAACGGAGGAGCACGAAGGUUGGCUAAUCCUGGUCGGACAUCAGGAGGUUAGUGCAAUGGCAUAAGCCAGCUUGACUGCGAGCGUGACGGCGCGAGCAGGUGCGAAAGCAGGUCAUAGUGAUCCGGUGGUUCUGAAUGGAAGGGCCAUCGCUCAACGGAUAAAAGGUACUCCGGGGAUAACAGGCUGAUACCGCCCAAGAGUUCAUAUCGACGGCGGUGUUUGGCACCUCGAUGUCGGCUCAUCACAUCCUGGGGCUGAAGUAGGUCCCAAGGGUAUGGCUGUUCGCCAUUUAAAGUGGUACGCGAGCUGGGUUUAGAACGUCGUGAGACAGUUCGGUCCCUAUCUGCCGUGGGCGCUGGAGAACUGAGGGGGGCUGCUCCUAGUACGAGAGGACCGGAGUGGACGCAUCACUGGUGUUCGGGUUGUCAUGCCAAUGGCACUGCCCGGUAGCUAAAUGCGGAAGAGAUAAGUGCUGAAAGCAUCUAAGCACGAAACUUGCCCCGAGAUGAGUUCUCCCUGACCCUUUAAGGGUCCUGAAGGAACGUUGAAGACGACGACGUUGAUAGGCCGGGUGUGUAAGCGCAGCGAUGCGUUGAGCUAACCGGUACUAAUGAACCGUGAGGCUUAACCUUACAACGCCGAAGGUGUUU
rnacentral:rRNA from 1 species